GACAGAGGGUGCAAACGUUGUUCGGAAUUACUGGGCGUAAAGGGCGUGCAGGCGGUUUGUUAAGUCUAGGGUGAAAGCUCCCGGCUCAACUGGGAGAGGUCCUUGGAUACUGGCAGACUUGAGGAGGGUAGAGGAGAGUGGAAUUCCCGGUGUAGUGGUGAUAUGCGUAGAUAUCGGGAGGAACACCAGUGGCGAAGGCGGCUCUCUGGGCCCUACCUGACGCUGAGACGCGAAAGCGUGGGGAGCGAACCGG
rnacentral:rRNA from 1 species